rnacentral:rRNA from 1 species
CAGCCGCCGCGGGAAUACGAAGGGUGUAAGCGUUAAUCGGAAUUACUGGGCGUAAAGCGUGCGCAGGCGGUUUGUUAAGACAGAUGUGAAAUCCCCGGGCUCAACCUGGGAACUGCAUUUGUGACUGGCAAGCUAGAGUGUGGCAGAGGGGGGUGGAAUUCCGCGUGUAGCAGUGAAAUGCGUAGAUAUGCGGAGGAACACCGAUGGCGAAGGCAGCCCCCUGGGCCAACACUGACGCUCAUGCGCGAAAGCGUGGGGAGCAAGCAAGAUUAGAUACCCCAGUAGUCCCUGUCUCUUAUAC